rnacentral:ncRNA from 1 species
UUCUAUACUUUGCAAAGUAAGGACAUAUCUAUCUCACAUAUCGGUCAAGAAACACUUUGGUUGCUGGAAAAAGUGCGGUGUGGGGUAGAUGCUACCUAGAAGUAAUGACUAGCAAACUAGUCCGUGUCUCAGCGUUAAUGAGCUUAAGAGGUAAACGAACACAUCGUUGCAAGCAGAGUGGUACCGCGUUAACAGCGUCUUUGCU